UCUGUCAUGAGGGCACAGUCUGCCUGACUACUGGAGCAGGGCUUUGAUGUUAGACCAGGGUCUAUCCCUAAGUGAGUUUAUGCCAUAAAGACAUCAAGUCCCUCAUUUAAGAAGUUGCAGUUUUCAAGCACUCCCUCUCAAUCACAAAGCCACUUACUUAAAAAGAAGUAAUGCAGGUAAUUUAUUUCUCUGGGGCAUGCAGCUGUGCCCAUUCCACAACCUAGCUGUGAGGAGAAGACAUGCAGAAAGAGUGGAGUCUUGCAUCUUGUGCUAACAAUGAAAAGACUUUGACUUGGCCUGGGUUUCAGUGGAAUUGUGCCAACCUAACCUCGGAUGUAGACACGACUAGCUCAGCGGAAGAAUGUUUCUGUCGACCUGGCCACUGCAGCUCAGGGAGGACACACCUAAAUUUCUGAGACAAAUGACAGAAGAUCAAUGUUUAUAGAAGUAGCAAAACAUUUUUAGCUUCCCCAGUCACAAAACUGCUGCAUUGCUUGGGCUCUAUCUGCACUGGAUGACCUUGAAAUUGCCUGAGUCACGGCCAAUUUCUAUCUUCAGUUCCAAACAACCACCUUAAAUCUUACACAGUGUCAUGUUCUCAUUGUCUGGGCUUUGUACUUCCCUGCCAUUGAAGGAUUUUUCACAUAAAUUAUAUAGGAAAUGAAGCAAAAUGUAAUUACAAUCUCCAACAGCACCAACGCAGAUAGAUAGCAACCGACAUGGAAAGCAGUUCAAUGGUCAGUUUUCAAUAACUGUCACUUGGUAGAAUGGAUAAAAAUGAAGCAUCUAUCACUAUACCACCCAGCUCCAGAAUGAUAUUAUUAUCGCAUCGUGCAGCCAAAAAGUUAGAAGGUUAUGGCUAUUUCCAACUAUCACUGUUAGCAGACUGCUCCAAAGGGACUUUCAUUCUUUGCUUUUAAACCUCAUUAUAUGGACUUCAAAAUGUAUCAUCAAAUAAUAUUAUGUUGCAUUAAAUUGAGUUAUCCCAAUGAAAACAUUUCCACUAAGGUUGAAUGAGACAUUUGAUAAUCCAUUAGCACACCUUUAACUUUUCAACAUAACAGAUUUUCUCAUUUUUUUUUUUUAUAAUUCUCAAAAGGAAAAGACACAAUUAUAUCUCACUUCGGAGUAGUCCAAAUGGAU